GAUGAACGCUGGCGGCGUGCCUAAUACAUGCAAGUCGAGCGAACAGACGAGGAGCUUGCUCCUCUGACGUUAGCGGCGGACGGGUGAGUAACACGUGGAUAACCUACCUAUAAGACUUGGAUAACUUCGGGAAACCGGAGCUAAUACCGGAUAAUAUAUCGAACCGCAUGGUUCAAUAGUGAAAGACGGUUUUGCUGUCACUUAUAGAUGGAUCCGCGCCGCAUUAGCUAGUUGGUAAGGUAACGGCUUACCAAGGCAACGAUGCGUAGCCGACCUGAGAGGGUGAUCGGCCACACUGGAACUGAGACACGGUCCAGACUCCUACGGGAGGCAGCAGUAGGGAAUCUUCCGCAAUGGGCGAAAGCCUGACGGAGCAACGCCGCGUGAGUGAUGAAGGUCUUCGGAUCGUAAAACUCUGUUAUUAGGGAAGAACAAAUGUGUAAGUAACUAUGCACGUCUUGACGGUACCUAAUCAGAAAGCCACGGCUAACUACGUG
rnacentral:rRNA from 1 species